rnacentral:lncRNA from 1 species
UUUUUUUUUUUUUUGGUUUUUUUUUUUUUGGUUUUUUGAGACAGGGUUUCUCUGUGUAUCCCUGGCUGUCCUGGAACUCUUUUUGUAGACCAGGCUGGCUUCAAACUCAGAAAUCCACCUGCCUCUGCCUACCCAAGUGCUGGGAUUAAAGGCGUGUGCCACCACCACCCGGCUAAGGGUCACCCUUUGUAUUCUCGGGGUCUCAUUACCUCAUAUGUGUAACACCAUUCCUAGGGAGACAAGAACAAAAGUCUACUCACCUCACUUAGAUAACUAAUGACAAACCAAAGUAAGGAUACCACCCAAUUCCAAUGUGGUGAGUCAGUGGGUUUGAUUAGGGUUACUUUCAGGGCCGUAGGUAAAGGGUUACUUAAAAGGAGCAGAAAUGACAGCUCUAUCUCCAAAGCCCAUCCCCACAUUUUGUGACAGCUCAAGCUGAAAGCCUGAAGCAUACUGCUUCCGUAUGGUCGCUGCUCAGAUGGUUUCUGCUCUUGCAGACACUGUCUCUCAGCAGUCCUUAGCUUGGGGAGGAGGCGUCUCAUGUACCUGGUCAGUUUCAGGGACUUCGGCAGGCUUUGAGUUGCUUGCUUCUUAAGUUAAGGAGUUUCCCUAAAAGAUGGCAUUUCACCUUGCCUUUAAAAUAUCCUUUGUCUUAACAAGCUUAAUUCCAAGAGGAAUGCUUUGUCUCCAGAAUAGUGAUAUGUAGUACUUCCCUGAGGAGGGUGUCACCAUUGAGUAUGCUGCCAGCCCCAUCUUAUUCUGUUGCCACAUAACUGCUCCAUUAAGAACUGUGCCUGCUAUGUACACUGUUCUGCCUGUGCCCUCAGUUAUGGUGGAGGUAUACAGUUUGAUAAGUAGUUAUUGGGUAACUAAAAGAAAAAACUCAAGUUCUCAGGUAAAGUCAGGUUGAUCAAAAUUCUGUGUUCAUGUCGCCACGCUAUCAAGUGAUUCAUUCAUUACCACCUACCCCAUAAGUGUAAAAUAGAAAAACUUUUCUUUUGGAAUUGCCUUUAGAAUUUCAUUAUUUUUUUUAAUAUUCCAAUAGUAUCAAAUCUUGACUCUUUGAAGAUAGAUGUAAUUAUAAAACUACCCAAAAGUUACUCAGAGCAAUAGAAGUGUUCUUUGGGGUUAGGAGUUGUGGCAACAUUAUUAGUGCAUGCAAAAUCUUCCAAGUGUCCUAAGUCAAAUAUUCUUUAGGGUAUAAUAUUUCCAUUGUGUGAUCUGAGCAACCAAGUUGGGCACAGUAGGACACAUCUAUGUAUUCUCAGUCACUCAGCUCUCAGAAGGCUUAAGGCCAGCGUUAGGCAAACCUGCCUCAAAAUAAGAAAGAGUGCUGGGAAGAUUGCUCCGUGGUUGAUGUUCUUCCAGGGGACACAGGUUCAGUAUCCAUCACCCACGUGGCAGUUCACAACUGUCUAUAACUCCAGUUCCAGAGGAUCCAGUGGCCUCUUCUGACCUUUAUGAAUACCAGGCACACAUUCAUGCAGGCAAAACACCCAUACACUUUUUUUUUUUUUUAAGAAAUUUGGAAUAUUUGAAAAGGAUACAGAUGUUGUCUGCUAAGCCUGCAGCCUAUUAUCGCAGCAGUUUGGGAGGCUGAGUGGGAGGAUCACCUGAGUUUGAGGCCAGCCCAAGCAGAAACAGACCCUUUCCCAAUAAACAACAACACAAGUAUCAGUGCUCAGUACUAGGUUUUCACUUGUCAAAUCUGACUUAGCUGAAUUUGUGUUAAGGGCUUGUAAAGGGGAUGUGUAUGUGCAUUGUGUCAUGUCACUGGUUUCUUCUACGAAGACAGAACAUUCUUC